GGGGCUGAUCGGUUUCGACUUGGGACGUUAGUUCCAGGGGAAGCGGGUCGAGAAGCCAGCGCCAUCUCGUAAACGAUCGCUGGAAACCUAUAACUGCCAACACCAAUCGCAGUUCCUUCGCUCUCGCUGCCUGAGCAGUGAUCGAAGCGUCAGUCCGGGCACCUGUCUCCGUCCCGGGUCCUGGCGUCAUCUAGGAGACUUGCCGCCCACUCCGCGUCACGGAGGGUGAGCGGGACUUUUCCGUGACUGAGCCUGUCGGGGACGUGUCCGUGCGAGCCCCGGGGCCGAGAAAAGCGACAGCACGGACUGCACCCGGAGAAGACCUGGUUCGACGCUCGAGGACCGGGGUUCGAUUCCCCGCAGCUCCACAA
rfam:Nocardioides sp. JS614, complete genome.